CUUCUCAAUCUCAUUCUCAGAAUGCCCUUGCUUGGGUCUAACCUCCCAGCAACUCCACCUCUCCUGCAGAAGACUCACAUUUACCAGCCCCUUUGCACAAGAGCUUAUGGCUUGUGAGUUGCCCCUUUUCACCAGACAACAAACAAGAAGCAGAGAAUGGCAUAACUGUAUCCAACCACCUGCUGGACAGUGUGUAGAAACCAUAUUGCACAACCACAUUUAGCCUCGAGCUGUCCUCCAACAACACUCCAUACUCUUCAAAACCAAUGUUCAUGACACUCAGCAAUCUCAAACUGGAACAACUGCUACAGUCCAUUUUUCACAGAAAUUUGGGUUCACAGUACAAGACAAGGCCUGGAAGUGGCAGCGAGAUAAGACACCUGGAAUGAACACAGAUCAUGCCUCCCUGGUGCUUUGGAUGCCUGGAAUGAGCACAGACCAUGCCUCCCUCGCGCUUUGAGCAGCCUCAAGUGUGCAUACAGCAAGAGGCUAACCGACUCUGGUAAGGAGGGCGUCUACCUGAACAGCUUCUGAGAACUGAAUCCCUUGACUGUUCUGCUUGGACGCAGUAUCCCACAGAGCAUUGCCAUUUGUCUGAUCUUACUCCCUUCUCAACUAUCCCACCUUCUCUGUUUUCCCUUCAGUCAGCUUUCCAUGUUCAAUUUCAUUCAGCAAAGUGUUCUAAGACAGUUUUGCUGCAGAUAGAUAAGCAGAUAAACUGCAGACAUUAGUGACCAACAGAUUAGCAGAUUCUCU
rnacentral:lncRNA from 1 species